rnacentral:rRNA from 1 species
UACGUAGGGGGCGAGCGUUGUCCGGAGUUACUGGGCGUAAAGGGCGCGUAGGCGGUUCGUUAAGUCCUGUGUGAAAUCCCCCGGCUCAACUGGGGAACUGCACAGGAAACUAGCGGGCUUGAGUUCGGGAGAGGGAAGCGGAAUUCCGGGUGUAGCGGUGAAAUGCGUAGAUAUCCGGAGGAACACCGGUGGCGAAGGCGGCUUCCUGGACCGACACUGACGCUGAGGCGCGAAAGCUAGGGGAGCAAACGGG